rnacentral:rRNA from 1 species
UUGGAAUGGGGGAAACCCUGAUCCAGCCAUGCCGCGUGUGUGAAGGCCUUUUUGGUUGUAAAGCACUUUAAGCAGUGAAGAAGACUCUUCGGUUAAUACCCGGAGACGAUGACAUUAGCUGCAGAAUAAGCACCGGCUAACUCUGUGCCAGCAGCCGCGGUAAUACAGAGGGUGCAAGCGUUAAUCGGAAUUACUGGGCGUAAAGCGAGCGUAGGUGGCUUGAUAAGUCAGAUGUGAAAUCCCCGGGCUUAACCUGGGAACUGCAUCUGAAACUGUUAGGCUAGAGUAGGUGAGAGGGAAGUAGAAUUUCAGGUGUAGCGGUGAAAUGCGUAGAGAUCUGAAGGAAUACCGAUGGCGAAGGCAGCUUCCUGGCAUCAUACUGACACUGAGGCUCGAAAGCGUGGGUAGCAAACAGGAUUAGAUACCCUGGUAGUCCACGCCGUAAACGAUGUCUACUAGUCGUUGGGUCCCUUGAGGACUUAGUGACGCAGCUAACGCAAUAAGUAGACCGCCUGGGGAGUACGGCCGCAAGGUUAAAACUCAAAUGAAUUGACGGGGGCCCGCACAAGCGGUGGAGCAUGUGGUUUAAUUCGAUGCAACGCGAAGAACCUUACCUGGUCUUGACAUAUCUAGAAUCCUGCAGAGAUGCGGGAGUGCCUUCGGGAAUUAGAAUACAGGUGCUGCAUGGCUGUCGUCAGCUCGUGUCGUGAGAUGUUGGGUUAAGUCCCGCAACGAGCGCAACCCUUGUCCUUAGUUACCAGCGGGUUAAGCCGGGAACUCUAAGGAUACUGCCAGUGACAAACUGGAGGAAGGCGGGGACGACGUCAAGUCAUCAUGGCCCUUACGACCAGGGCUACACACGUGCUACAAUGGUAGGUACAGAGGGCAGCUACACAGCGAUGUGAUGCGAAUCUCAAAAAGCCUAUCGUAGUCCAGAUUGGAGUCUGCAACUCGACUCCAUGAAGUAGGAAUCGCUAGUAAUCGCGGAUCAGAAUGCCGCGGUGAAUACGUUCCCGGGCCUUGUACACACCGCCCGUCACACCAUGGGAGUUGAUUGCACCAGAAGUGGAUAGCUAACCUCGGGAGGC